AGGAAGCCCUUUGGCCUUGGCGGCCCGCCCCCGCCAGGUCAAAAGCAAGCCAGACGAGGCGCUAUUGAAGUGAAAUGGGACAAAGCUUCGCGCCGCAUGCGCGCGCGAAGAAAAAAAAAACAGAAAAAAGAAAGAAACGUGAGGAGGGAGUCGUUCCCGCGGCGGCGCGAUCGUCGUACCAGCGCCUCGUCGUAGCAAGGCCGGCUAGGCCUUGUGAACGCCACUUCUCAAGUGAUCAGCUGUGUCGGUCGUGUGUGCGCGUUUUGUGCCUGCAGCCUCACUGUGUUCUCGCCGCUGGAUGUGAUAUGCGUGGUUUGACGACAGUGCGACAUGCUGCGCUGCGAGUGCGAUAAUCGCGACGGCCUGUCGACUCAAGCGAGCGUGCCGCUGUGCAUUACCAAGCAGAUGAUGGGCACCCUGCGUGCUCGGCACAGUCAGGAACAAAAAUGCAUCUACCUUGGAUGCAGUCAACUAGCCUGGACAUCUUUCUCCCGCCAUGCAACUGUGAGAACCCACCGAAGCACAGAUUGUCAGGAAGUGAAAAGACUUUUCGGCAACAAUGUUGCAUUGCGCACUCUGCCCGUCUCCUGAAAUAGCAUAUUAAGGUACAUAAGCACUGUACCUUCAUACAUAUGCAUCAAGGAACAGUGAAAUAGCAUAUCAAGGUACAUUAACAUCAUUAGCUUGGAUUCAUUUAACUAGAACGAAUAAAUCAUGUUAAAUGACGGCCAUAUCAUGUGACAGACAUCUGCUAAGUGCAGUGUGUAUUGUGAAGCACAUGUGUUUUAUGGUAUUGAAUGAAUGGAUAAAUGUUUAUUCCAGCAAAAUACAGGAAAUGGGCCUCAAGUGAAAAGCGACAAUGGUAGCUUGAGAAGUGUACAAGGCCCAGUAGAGCAAAAAGAGAGACAGAGCAGCGGAAACGUGUGCACGUUCAAAGGCAAAACAUAUACGCAUACAAAAAGAAACAGGAAAGACAAAGCAGAAGAAACGUGCACAUUCAAAGGCAAAACACCUACGCCAUCUGCAAAGUGACAAAAUCAAAAAGGGUGAACAUUUACGCUAGUGAAAACAAUGAAAAUCAGAAAACAGUGAAAACAGAAAAGAAGGAACAGCCAUUCAAUGGCAUGGAAGGAAUGCAACUUCAUUGGUCACGUAUCAACAGUGGAAUUUACAUGUGCAUAUUCUUAGCCAUUAGGAGAUGUGCAAGGCUAAUUUAAUCGCAUUGAUAUAAGUCAGCUGUUGAGUCUGUUGAACCAGAUUGUUGAAUCAUCUUGUUUAUUCCCUCUUGUUAAUUUGCUGUUUUGCAUUAUGUUGCCAUAGUUUUCAAGGUCAAUACAUAGUAUCAUGACUGUUGACACAAUUUGACAAGGUGAAAGCGCUGUUAUUGUGCCCAGGCCUUAGUUUAUCCUCACUAGAAGUGCGCUGUUUAUUUUUGCCAUGGUUCAGUGCCAAGUUGCCCAAUCUUCACUCCUAAGCAGAGUAGGUGCGGUUAAUCAAGACCUUGCUAAUAUUUACAACCCUUUUAAAGUGUACUUAUAAUGAUAACUUUACUGACAUCAAAAACUACCCACAUAAUGGUAAACAUGGCGAGAGUACACUUCUGGUGGUGUUUCGCAUUUUUUUUACAUCCGUUUGUUUUUCGCCCUGUGCACACGAAGUGAAAUGCUCACAAGGAAAUACUUAGCAGCAUCUCAAUGUUGUAUUUAUUUCGUGUUUUGACAAAAUGUCUGCGAUAAGGAUAGUCAAGUGCGAAUCUUUGGUAAGACAUUCAUUUUUAUGUGUACAGAAAUCUUAGUGGACUUAUUUUUUUGUAAUUUUCAGGAAUACACUUCUGGCAAAGCAGCAAGUGUUGCUUGCCCACCAGUCUGUGUUCAAGACAAGUGUAUUGUGGGCAUGAGUGUCGGCAGGAUUUUGUCUUGGGGGUGCAAGGCAGCGUAACGUGUCGGCCUAGUGAGCAGGAGAGCAUUGGUGUAGCUUGCGUGGGGGUCAAGUGCUGGUGUGUCUUGAUGGCGGCAGGUGCCCUUUGUGCAAACCCCUGCCGACACCCAUGAUUGUGGGAACACCCUGAUGUGCCUCACUUUACACUAUGUCGAACAGCUCGUACAUCUUACCACAUUUAGGCCAACACUGGUAUUGAUGCAAAGUGUUAUGCGCAAUGCUGCGUGAAACGUUUCUGAUAUCUUGUGCAUUUGAAAAUUUCGCAAUGUUUAAAAAGACGCUGAGUGGACCCAGUGUUAUUCAGCAAACAUAAGUCUUAACAGGGGCAGUUGGGUGAGUUGGUGUAUAUUCAUAGUUAAAGAGGGUGCAAAAAAAAUAACAGCACAGAGAAAUCAAGGGGACAGGAUGACGCGCUACUAGCAACUGAAGUUUAAUCGAAACCACAGAAAGAUGUAAACACACAGUACGAAAAAAUUACAAGACUAAACAAUCACACAUCCACAGAGGAAUGAAGGGGGCAGACAGGACAAUGCGCUACUAGUAACUGAAGUGUAAUCAAAACCACAGAAAGAUAUAAACACACAUGACUAAAAAAGCCAAGCACAUGUUCAACUUCAGUUGUUAGUAGUGUGUCGUUCCGUCCCCUUUGUUGCUCUGUGUUCUGACUUCGUUUUCACGUUUUCCUUACCUAUGAACUGAACUCCUGACUGUUUGACAGUCUCUAUAUAUGUGAGGUCAAUAUUUAUUCAUCCUCAUGGCAUUUCAAGUCCUAGGAUCCAAUGUGCAAAGCGAGCAGUCACUAUUUACAGGAAUUUUUUUAUUUAGUGCCUGUGAUUGCCUAAUUGCAAGUUGACGUCGCAGCCAUGGUGCUUGGAUUAUUUUCAAUGUGGUAAUUAUGCGUAAGCCAUCAAGUGAGGAAUUAAGGAUGAACUUUUGAGUUACAGGUGUUACAGAUGGCACUAGCUGGCAUAAAAACAUUGAAGCAUGGCUGUACUUGUUAUGCAUAUUAGAAGUAUUGGUACAUUGCAGUCAUGUGAUUAUGCCGACAAGUUCCCAAGCACACUUCCAGAAAUUUACGAUGGCUUCCAGGUAUCUGUGAGUAAAUAUGUACAGCAACAUAUAAAGGCAACCUUGUAAUUUUGUGGGCAUUGCUGAAUGCUUUUAUGCACCUUCGUAUGUGGACCUACAGUCAACACCACAGGUCUAUUUCGGGCUUUUUGUAGGAAACUCAACUCCAAAAUCAUGUGCGACAUGUUUUGAUGUCAUAGGGCAAACUAAUGCAAAAAAAAAACUGUACAACUGCCUGUCUACACGGUUUCAUAUUUCCCAAAAGUGAUGCUAGCCUUAUUGUACUAAUUUAAUUAGUUGCCUUCGUGUGUAGGCUGACACCAAGUUCCUUGGGUAGCUUAUUUUUUUGGAUUGUACUUACAUACUGGCACGGUGAAGUGCACACGUUAGUGCGCAUCAUGAUGAGAUUUUACACCCUACUUUCGUAUUGCUUUACUGCUGUGAAUUAUGUAUAGUGCUUAGGCUGUACUGUAUAUGUUGUUCCACGUAUUCAGUUUUGGGAGUAGGUUCUGUGCAUGACGAUGGAAAUAUAUACCUAUAUCCUUACAUUGACACGAGAACUGCUGCUGUUUUGAUUCCAAUAAAAUGUUGCAACAA